AGAGGGUGGUGAUGACGAACAGA
rnacentral:siRNA from 1 species